rnacentral:snRNA from 1 species
AUGCUCACUUUGGUGGUACAUAUACUACAAUUAAAAUGAUACAGAGAAGAUUAGCAUGGCGCCUGAACUAGGAAGGCACACAAACUCAUGUAGCAUUCCAUAUUUUA